GCUCCCGUAGCUGAAUGGAUAGAGUAGUGGCCUCCGAAGCCAUUGAUGGCUGUUCAAAUCAGCCCGGGAGCA
rnacentral:tRNA from 1 species